rnacentral:rRNA from 1 species
AUGGGGGCAACCCUGAUCCAGCCAUGCCGCGUGAGUGAAGAAGGCCCUCGGGUUGUAAAGCUCUUUUGUCCGGAAAGAAAAGCAUUCGGUGAAUACCCGGAUGUUCUGACGGUACCGGAAGAAUAAGAACCGGCUAACUUCGUGCCAGCAGCCGCGGUAACACGAAGGGUGCAAGCGUUACUCGGAAUUACUGGGCGUAAAGCGUGCGUAGGUGGUUGUUUAAGUCUGAUGUGAAUGCCCUGGGCUCAACCUGGGAUUGGCAUCGGAAACUGGGCAGCUAGAGUGCGGUAGAGUGCAGUGGAAUUCCCGGUGUAGCAGUGAACUGCGUAGAGAUCGGGAGUGACAUCUGUGGCGAAGGCGCCUGCCUGGACCAGCACUGACACUGAGGCACGAAAGCGUGGGG